CGGCGUGCUUAACACAUGCAAGUCGAGCGAUGAAGCCCUUCGGGGUGGAUUAGCGGCGGACGGGUGAAGUAACACGUGGGCAACCUGCCUUAUAGAGGGGGAUAGCCUUCCGAAAGGAAGAUUAAUACCGCAUAAGAUGCAAUUCUCGCAUGAGAGAUGUAUCAAAGGAGCAAUCCGCUAUAAGAUGGGCCCGCGGCGCAUUAGCUAGUUUGGUGAGGUAACGGCUCACCAAGGGCGACGAUGCGUAGCCGACCUGAGAGGGUGAUCGGCCACAUUCAGGAACUGAGACACGGUCCAGACUCCUACGGGAGGCAGCAGUGGGGAAUAUUGCACAAUGGGGGAAACCCUGAUGCAGCAACGCCGCGUGAGUGAUGAAGGCCUUCGGGUUGUAAAGCUCUUUGAUUAGGGACGAUAAUGACGGUACCUAAAGAACAAGCCACGGCUAACUACGUGCCAGCAGCCGCGGUAAUACGUAGGUGGCAAGCGUUGUCCGGAUUUACUGGGCGUAAAGGAUGUGUAGGCGGAUUUUUAAGUGAGAUGUGAAAUACCCGAGCUCAACUUGGGU
rnacentral:rRNA from 1 species